CAUACCGACUCAACACCCACG
rnacentral:miRNA from 1 species